rnacentral:rRNA from 1 species
UACGUAGGGGGCAAGCGUUGUCCGGAUUUAUUGGGCGUAAAGAGCGUGUAGGCGGCCAGACAGGUCCGUUGUGAAAACUCGAGGCUCAACCUCGAGACGCCGAUGGAAACCGUCUGGCUAGAGCCGGAAGAGGAGAGUGGAAUUCCUGGUGUAGCGGUGAAAUCGCGCAGAUAUCAGGAGGAACACCAAUUGCGAAGGCAGCUCGCUGGGACGUAAGCUGACGCUGAGACGCGAAAGCGUGGGGAGCAAACAGGAUUGAGA